UUAGGCACGGGCGAUACGGGCGAUUGCCUAGGGCGCAAAAAUGAAGGGGGGCGGCGCUGGCGGCUCAGCCCUUGUAAAAUAAUGUAUGCACCACUAUUGGUUUACUUGUAACAGUCCCAAACAUUUAUGUGUUUAUUCUGUUGUUCUAAAUUAUAUUUUAAUUUGCGCCAUCUAGUGGUGAGAGCAUGUGGAACAAAGUUCAAUUAAAGUUCCACACGGACUCAUUUAACUACGCACACAGCUAUCAGCGCAUUGCUGCAGCCACGUGAAGAUCUCCGAAAGUUAAAGGAAAGCUGAAGCCAAAUGAGCAAUUAGCCCCUCGUGGAUGUCAGCCCACGAGUUCUCACGGGUUGUGAAGACCAAUAAACCCUGUUUUAAACACCUCGUGCUCAUGCUAAUUCCUCGAGGGUGCUACAGUGAGAACUCUUCUGCUCCGCAUGGGUAGACGAGACGGUGCCAGCGCCGAGAGGGACAACAGCGCCACCCUGCGACGGCCAAAUGCACAACACCGAACUUCAAGUUCCCAAAGAUGAAUGUUGCAUCAAGGACUCCGAUUAAUAUUAGUUAAUAUGAAAGUAUAACCGUCGAGAAGAGACUGCAAUAAGAAACAGGAUAUUUUUCGUUUCUGUUUAAUCGAAGGGACUGAGAUAAUUUUAUUUUCUUUUCCUGUUCAAGUUUAAGUGAUUUGUUCAAUAGUGAAAUUUAUCUAUGCUAAGUAACCUGUAUAUUGUUCAUAUUUAGUGAUUCAGAGUUAACAGGAAUUAGAUGUAAUAUUUGCCUAUUCAAGACAAGUUAUUGUUGCUUACUGCACACAGUGGUUUAAGUUCAAUAUUUAUGUUGCAUUAGAAAACAUUAAGACAUUUUGCAGUACUGUUAAGUUAAAGGUGCAGUAAUUUAAACCAACUUUUUUCUAUUUUCCCUACAAAGUACAUAAAACUAAACCAGUAUUUUAAUCUUUAAAGUCAAACGCAAGCUUAAAAAUGUCAAGAUUGGAUGUUUCAUCUGAAGUUGGCGAAGAUGAUGUGACAUUCAGGUUAAAUGAGCAACCAUCAGAAGCUGAGUGCGUUGGAGAUGAUAUCCCCACUACCUCACAAGAUGCACGAAAGAGCCAAAGAGUCCGUACGCUAACGGAAAAGGGGCAAGAGCUGCAUGAUGAGCAGGUAAAGAAGGCCGCACAAAGUUUCAGCACGUGCUACGAGAAGUGGAAGGCUGUCAUUAAAGAGAAUAAGAAAGCUAUAGAUGGACAAUGCUCAAUGGAUCUCCUGGAUGAACACAUCACAAAAGUAAACAGUGCUGCUACCAAUGUUUGUGCUGCAUAUGAUGAUUUAAGACGCAUUGACUCUCCUGACAAUGACGCAAGACGCAGGAUGGAUACCUGUGAUGCAGUAACAAGGAGCAUCAUGGAAGCAGCUGAAAGAUCCCAAACAUUAAGAAACAGAGGUCAAAAGGAUGAAGAAGUUUGGAAGGACGUAGAGUCAGUGUUCAAGUCUGCUGCUUCUGCAAGGUUAAGUGUUAAAUCUCAUCACAGUCCAAAGACUUCUUCCAAGUGUUCAAGCAGACACUCCAGCAAGAGACAAGAGGCAGCAGCUGAAGUUGCCGCAAAUGAAGCUGCCUUAGAAGUUCAACUGGAACAAGAAAAUUGAAUAAAGGAAAUUGAAAAGCAAGAAGCAGAAAUUGCACAGAAACAACGAGAGCUGGAAGCAAAGCGCAGAGAAGUGGAUCGACUGGAAACAAUCAAAAGGCUUCAAGCUGCUAAAGCAAGACAAAGAGUAUAUGAGCAGAGUGAAAGUUCAGAUGAAGACACGUAUGAUGUGCUCCACCAGCAAACCUCUGGUAAGGAAAAAAGGGUUAAGUCAGAAACCAGUAGCUUACCCCUCAGACCUCCUUUCCCACCUCAAAAUGUGAUCUCCACUCCAGAAGUAAACACAACAGAGCUGGUAAGAGCCUUCGCAGAAUCUCUUAACGCAAGUCGUCUCCCAGUCCCAGAGCCAACUAUAUUCAAUGGUGACCCACUCAGAUACAAUGACUGGAAGAUUUCAUUUCUGACUCUUGUUGACAGGAAAGCUUUACCAGCCGAAGAGAAGACAUACUAUUUGCGGAAGUAUGUAAGUGGACCUGCAAGGAAAGCCAUAGUAAGUUACUUUUUGCUGGGUACAGAAUCUGCCUACAAUGCAGCAUGGACAGUUCUUGAAGACAGGUAUGGCAAUCCAUUCCUCAUUGCUAAGGCAUUUAGAGACAAACUUGACGCAUGGCCAAAGAUCAGUUCCAAGGGCAGUGUGGAACUUCAAGAAUAUGCUGACUUUCUUCGCAGUUGUAAUGCAGCCAUGCCACACAUCAAAGGUCUCGAAGUACUAAAUGACUGCAAUGAAAACCAAAAAA